rnacentral:lncRNA from 1 species
GGGAAAACGUAGGGCUUUUCAACACCUGAAAGACCGUAUAAAAAUAAAAAUUGAUAACUGGAGUAAUCGGUUAUUAUCACAAGGAGGAAAAUAGGUGUUCAUUAAAGCUGUGCUACAAGCGAUUCCAACAUACACAAUGGCAUGUUUCCUACUACCGCUAUCAUUAUGUAAGAAGAUUGAGCAAUUAAUGGCUAACUUCUAGUGGCAGAAGGGUCAAGGUAAACGUGGAAUUCAUUGGUGCUCAUGGAAUAAAUUAUGUGAAUUAAAAGUCGAGGGUAGACUUGGAUACAGAAAUUUAGCUAAAUUUAAUUUGGCCUUUCUUGCAAAGCAAGGCUGGAGAAUUAUUGAUAAUCCUAUGUCCCUUUUAGCUAGAACAUUAAAAGCCAAGUAUCAUCCAAAUUCUGAUUUUUUAAGCUCAGAGUUAGGGAGCUUACCAUCAUAUACUUGGAAACGUAUAUGGGCUGCAAAGGGACUGCUGUUCGCAGGAUUAUAGUGGAAGGUGGGUAACGGGCAAAGCAUCAGAAUUGAAGAAGAUGUCUGGGUUCCAAAUGUGGAGAGCGGGCUGGUUAAAAAAAAUGUCAAUAGGCAAACUGUUACAAAAGUCGAAGAUCUUAUUGAUAAUAGGAAUAGAAAAUGGAAUUCGGAACUGAUUUUAAAGACCUUCUCUAAAGAGGUCGCUCAAAAGAUCUUGUUAAUUCCACUGGCUCAGCACACUCACGAAGACUUUCUGAGUUGGCAAGGCGAGGCAUCUGGAGAGUAUUCUGUGUGCAGCAGUUACAAAAUCCUCUUACAAAGAAAUGAAAAUUACAGGCAAGAGGAAAUCAAUACAUGUUACAAAAAAACUCUGGAGCUGUGACCUCCCUUCAAAAAUUAAUAUUACAGCCUAGAGAGUCACCCUUAACUUUAUCCCUACUCUAGUAAACCUAAAAGCUAAGCGACUAAUAAAUGAGGCCAAUUGUUAGAGGUGCUUGUAAGGGCUGGAAACAAGAGAACACGUCUUCCGGGAUUGCACUGUCACAAAAGAAAUAUGGGAAAAAUUAGAGUUUACAUGGCCUCAGGCUCUUUCACAAGUUGAGUUUAUGGAAUGGUUUACCUGAAUUAUGCUCCACAGUACAAGAGAAGCCAGUCAGACCUUCAUUUGCACUUUAUGGGCUAUCUGGGCAGCUAGAAACAAAUGGAUGUAUGAAAACCACAAGAGAACUGGAGCAGAAAUAGUAAAAUUCAUACGGGGAUAUAUACAGGAAGUUAAAGACAUUACGAAAACAGAUCUUGCCUUAAGGUUGGAAUCUGAGUUAUGGAGGCCUCCGGAAAAAGAGUUCUUCAAGAUAAACUUUGAUGCUGCCUUUGAUAAUAGAUAGAACAGAUCCUGUUCAAGAAUAAUAAUCAGAAAUUUCAAGGGUGACAUUAUAGUAUCCAACACAAUAAUUCAUACCAACAUAUGCACUAGUUUUGCGGCUGAAGCAAACGCAUGUCUACAGGCAGUCAAGAUGGGCAGAGAAUUAGGGAUAAAACAGAUUAACAUUGAAGGAGACUCCUUAACAGUUAUAAAGAAAGUUAAAAGCUCAAAAAGAGACAGAUUGGAAAUAGGACCUUUUAUCUAUGAUAUAAAAGAACAGAAAGCAACAUUCCACGAUUUUCAGUUUCAAUAUGUCAGACGAUCAGCAAAUACAGAAGCACAUAAUCUGGCAACGGAAGGGCUAAAAAUGGACAGAAGUACAUACCUGGCUCCUGGGUCCGGCGGAAAUGGCAUUUCUGAAGCAGAGGUAGAUCGGGGAUAGAGAUAAACCAAUUGGAAAUAGUAACAACACCAGUUGCGGGGACAAAAGAGGAGAAGACGAUCUAUCUAGCAGGAAAAUACAUGGCGGUACAAAAAUCUUUAGAAAAGGAAAAUGAGUGGAAGACGGGCUGCGAAUAAGAAGAAGGCAACGAUGGAAAAGAAAAGAUCAAAGGAAUAAGACUAACAGCUGGGAAGACAAUAUCUUUUCGUUGGA